ACGCUCCCCUCUUUUAAAUUUUAAACAAAGUUUUAUAAAUAAAAGUUUAAAAUAUUGUACCUUCAUUCUUCAUCAACUUGUCUACUUUGUUCAAAUUGUUUUGCAUCCCUUUUAUUUCUCGCUAAAAUAUUGUACCUUCAUUCUUCAUCAACUUAUCUACUUUGUUCAAAUUGAUCAAAUUGUUUCUAAUAUUGUACCUUAGAAGAAUUUAUGAUUAAGAUUUUACCUACCAAUGGCCAAAUAUAUCUCUUUAUGAUGAACCUUCUACAUAUGCUGCUUACUCUGUGUUGAGUUUGGUCAAAUUUUUGGACCGCUGUCGAGAGAUGUUUCAUGCCUCCAAGAUUAGAAUUCACUUGCACACACCAAAUAAAGCCAACUCUCACACUGAGAAGUUGCGCACAACAUGUUUUUUUCUUCCAUCCACCCAAAAAUAUGCCAACUCUUACACUAGAGUUGCGCCCAUAUAUCCACCAAAUAAAAAUGCCAAUAUCUCACCCUGAGAAUUGCGCAUCCAGUUACAUUCCUUGCAUUCAUUACUAUGAACCUCUCUUCCACUUGUUAUUCAUCAGCAACAAAGCAAUGGGCUAUUCCAAAAAAAGAAAAAAAAUAUAUGAGAAAAGCCAAAAGGAAAACGGGGAAAAUCCAUACCCGUUCAAAAAAAAUUAUCACCCAUUUCCUUCUUAGUUCCUCAUAUCAUUCAAAUAAAAGGGAGUAAUGUUGCAAGGGUAUGGCGCACUCCCUCUAGUAUGGUCCUAGAUUUGACUCGAUAAUAUAUGCAGGGUAAGUAGGAUUCCACUAUUACCAUACCUACCCAAAACUCCAGAUAAGCCUUUAGAGGUAGGAUGAUCAAAUAGAAGGCAUCAAAUCCUUAUGCC
rnacentral:lncRNA from 1 species